CCUUUUUAGAUACUCUUUCCUGUAGUUUUUCUUUCCCACAUGUAAUUAAUUUAUAUACGCAUGCCUUUUUCCCUUUCUACUAGAAUAUAUGUGUAUAUAUAUAUAUAUUAUUGUAUUUAUUUUUUAAUUUAUCAAUUGCCUCUUGUGGCAAAUCUACAAUACAAAUGAUGUGCACAGUGCACUUUGCUGCAUUCCCAGAAAAAUAAGAAUUGUAUGGCAAAAAUUGGGGCAUGACACAAAUUAAUGUUUAGCUAAAAUUGAAAAUGCAUCACUUAAUUGUUCGAUUCUUUGCAAAUCAAAAUUCUAAGAUCAAUCUUAAUACAUAACAUAAAUCCAAGAUAUAGGUAGUGCCAAUAUCAAUAUUAAGAUAGGUAUCUUAUUUCUAAUAUAUAUUGACUGUACAAUAUUUACUCAGAAGUGUGACUUAUUAGCAUUUCUUCUUCACAUGCAAUCAGAUCUGAGCUCCAAUUAGUUGAGAAAAUAGCCAAUGAUGUUUUGGAGGAAUUAGUUCGGUUCUCUUCAAGUGACUAUGAGGAUGAUAAUUUAGUUGGAAUUGAUUCACAUGUGGAGAAAGUGAAAUCAUUGUUAUCUAUUGGAUCAGAAAAUGAUAAACGAGUUAUAGGAAUUUGGGGAAUGGGAGGUAUUGGCAAGGCAACUAUUGCUCAUGCAGUAUACAGUGAAAUCAAGGAUAAAUUUGAUGGUCAUUACUUUGUUCAUAAUGUCAAUGAACAGUUAAUGAACAAAGCACAUCAUGUUUUGCGAGAUGAAAUCAUUGGUCAAUUGUUAGAAGAAACAAAUAUGCCUACAAUUCAUGUACCUGCUUCCACUAAAAGAAAACUUGAAGGUAAAAAGGUACUCGUUGUUUUUGAUGAUUUGGAUAAUCUAAUCCAUUUCAAUUUUUUAGCUGAAAACUGUACUUUGUAUAACGUGGGAAGUAGAAUCAUUGUAACCUGCAGAGAUAGGCGAAUACUAAGAAUUGUUUGCCGGAGGGAGCAUAUAUAUAAGGUUCAAAACUUAAACGAUCAAGAUGCUCUCAAUCUCUUUAGCUUAUAUGCCUUCAAACAAAAUCAUCCCAAAAAAGGAUAUGGGAAGCUAGCACAGAAGGCAAUAACCUAUGCCGAAGGCAAUCCUUUGGUUCUUAGAGUUUUAGGCUCUAAUAUGCAUGGUAUGAGGAAAAAAGAAUGGAAAAGUGAGUUGGAAAAAUUGAAAGAAAUUCCUGAUGGGGAUAUUUUAAGAGUUCUGAGAAUAAGUUAUGAUAAACUAUAUCGCAAUCAAAAAAACAUAUUUCUUGAUAUUGCGUGUAUCUUUAAAGGGAAUCUUAAAGAUAUGGUUGAGAGCAUAUUAGAUGAUGAUGGUUCCUUUGUAGGAAAUGCAAUAAGACGUCUAAUAGAUACAUCUCUCAUAACCAUAACCUCUCCAUUCGGCAUUUAAAAGUAUAUUAGUAUGCAUGACUUGCUACAACAAAUGGGUCAGGAGAUUGUUGUUGAGGAAAGCAAAAAGCCUGAAACUCGCAGAAAUUUGUGGAAAUACGAAGAUAUUCGCGAUGUAUUGACAAUAAAUUCGGGAACAGAAAAUAUUGAAGGCAUAUUACUUAACAUGUUUGAGAAGAAUGAUUUGGUGAUAAGUUCCAAGGCAUUCAAGAAUAUGCGCAAUCUGAGAUUCCUCAAAAUUUGCUAUUAUCUUCCAUCAGAAAAAGAAGAUUUUAUCCAUUAUCCUUCCCAUGGAGGUCAGGUGCUUCUUCCUCGCGGCCUUAAGUGUCUUACAGAAAAGCUGAGAUACCUUAAGUGGGAAAAAUACCCUUCGACAUCAUUGCCACAAAAUUUUUGUCCGAAGAAUUUGGUAGAACUUCGCUUGAGUGACAGUAACCUCACAGAACUUUGGGAUGGAGAUAAGGAUUCCAGACUUGUCUAGUACUGCCCCAAAUCUCGAGUCUCUAUAUUUUAGGAACUGUGUAAGUUUGGUUGAGAUUUCAUCUCUUCAAAAUCUUAGCAAGCUUACUGAACUACAGUUAGAGGGGUGUUGCAAGGUCACAGAUUGUCCAGAGAUUCCUUGUAAUAUAAGGAAAUUAAGUUUAGAUGAAACUAGAAUAGAACAACUGCCCCAUCAUUUGAGCAUCUGUCUCAACUUUCGAAUUUAUCCUUGAUACGAUGUACAAGACUCGCGAGUCUUCCAAACAGCAUUGGCAAAUUGGAAGGACUUCGAGCACUUAAUCUCGAUGGAUGUAGAAGACUCGCGAGUAUUCCCCAGAGUUUUGAGCUAUUAGUGUUGGAAGAGUUAUGUUUAGCUAGAAACAAUUUCGAGAGCAUACCUGUAACAAUCGAACAAUUUUAUACGACAGAGCUUGAUUUUAGUGGUUGCAUGAGACUUAAAAGUUUACCAGAGCUUCCAUCAUGGUUAAAAUACUUGAAUGCAUCAGAUUGCACCUCUCUGGAAUCUGCAUCAACUUCCUUCCUUUUCGCACAUGACAGUGAAGAUGAAGAUGAAGGUGGCAAACUUCUUUUGUUUCGUAAUUGCAUCAAUUUGGAUAAGAAAGUAUUGGAGGACGUUUUUGAAGCACAUCUGUUGGUUCGGGAAGUUAAAUUAUGCAUGGCAGGAGAUAAAUUGCCGCAAAAGAUGAGCCAUAAGAACAAGAAAGGAUCCUCGCUUUUAUUCGAACUUGAUCUCCAUCACUUAUUUGCUUUCUCUUUUUGUGUUGUUUUUGAUCCCAUAAAUUAUUUUUUUGAUCUUCAGAAGGGCAUUAAAUGUAGAGUGGAUUUGGUAGAAGAAUCUGGACGUAGGCGUAACCAUGAUUUCGUUUUCCACUCUGUUGAUUAAGAGCGUUUCAUUUAUGAUGAGCAUGGGAUGGAAUUUGUGUAUUCAUCAAAACACGUGUUGCUUUGGUUCAGUAAUCAUAAUUUCGAAUCUGUUGAGGAAAAGUGUUUAGUUGAGGCCUCAUUUCACUUCUCCAGUGGUGAUGACGAAGGGAUAAUUAAGUGUGGAGUCCAUCCUAUAUAUCAACAUGAGGAUGGCGAGGAAGGCGAACAAAUUGAGGGGGAUGAGGACCAAAUGGAGAAGAUUGAGGAACAAAAUGAGGAGGCUAAAGAACUGAUUGAGGAGGAUAAGGACCAAAUUGAGGUUCAAAUUAAGGAGAUUGAGGACCAAUUAAGGAGCAUGAGUAAAAAAUUAAGGGCGAUAAGAACCGAAAUGAGGAGGACGAGGACCAAAAUUGAGGAGGAUGAAGACCAAAAUGACUUUUCGAAUCAUGAGAACAGGAAAAGGAAGAGGAACCAAACCUUCCCUACCGAAUUAUAAAUCUCUGACCACCUCUUCCUUGUUGCCUAUCACAACAGGAGGAUACAAAUUCAAGCUUGAAUAAUUGCAUAUAUCGAUAUCAUGGUUCAAUAAUAAGCAUUGAAAAUUUUGAUGCUCUCAUUCUGGAGAAAGAACUCAAUCUCACACUUGGAUCUAGUGCACUUGUUGGCUGCACCAGGUAAUGGCUUGUUGGGUUGUUUUGAACCUUGAAAUUAGGUCUGGCUUGUUGGACUGCUUAGGUUGACACCAUUGUUGUGUUUCUAUCUUGCAAUUUUAGGGGUUUUUCAACCAGCAGUGUUGGCAUAGGAAAUGUUUAGUAUAGUAUGGGUGUAUGGGGUGUGACCUGUUGGUCACAGGCAGCAUGAUAUAGGAAUUGUUUAGUAUAGGUUGGGUGUAUGUAUGGGGUGUGACCUAUUGGUCGCGGGUAGCGCACCAUCUGCUGGUUUUUCCCCUGGACGUCUCUAAUUAACAUAUUACACGUUAAUAACUUUGAACU